CUACGGGAGGCAGCAGUAAGGAAUAUUGGUCAAUGGACGCAAGUCUGAACCAGCCAUGCCGCGUGAAGGAUGAAGGUCCUCUGGAUUGUAAACUUCUUUUAUAUGGGACGAAACCCGGGUAUUCCUACCCGAUUGACGGUACCAUAGGAAUAAGCACCGGCUAACUCCGUGCCAGCAGCCGCGGUAAUA
rnacentral:rRNA from 1 species